rnacentral:rRNA from 1 species
AUACGGAGGGUGCAAGCGUUACUCGGAAUCACUGGGCGUAAAGCGCGCGCAGGCGGGCUGAUAAGUUGGAUGUGAAAGCCUACGGCUCAACCGUAGAACUGCAUCCAAAACUGUCAGUCUAGAGUCUGGGAGGGGAAGAUGGAAUUAGUUGUGUAGGGGUAAAAUCCGUAGAGAUAACUAGGAAUACCAAAAGCGAAGGCGAUCUUCUGGAACAGUACUGACGCUGAGGCGCGAAAGCGUGGGGAGCAAACGGGAUUAGAAACCCCAGUAGUCC